GACGAACGCUGGCGGCGCGCCUAACACAUGCAAGUCGAACGGAGUCAAGAGGAGCUUGCUUUUCUUGACUUAGUGGCGAACGGGUGAGUAACGCGUGAGUAACCUGCCCUGGAGUGGGGGACAACAGUUGGAAACGACUGCUAAUACCGCAUGAGCCCACGGAUCCGCAUGGAUCUGCGGGAAAAGGAUUUAUUCGCUUCAGGAUGGACUCGCGUCCAAUUAGCUAGUUGGUGAGGUAACGGCCCACCAAGGCGACGAUUGGUAGCCGGACUGAGAGGUUGAACGGCCACAUUGGGACUGAGACACGGCCCAGACUCCUACGGGAGGCAGCAGUGGGGGAUAUUGCACAAUGGGGGAAACCCUGAUGCAGCGACGCCGCGUGGAGGAAGAAGGUUUUCGGAUUGUAAACUCCUGUCGUUAGGGACGAUAAUGACGGUACCUAACAAGAAAGCACCGGCUAACUACGUGCCAGCAGCCGCGGUAAAACGUAGGGUGCAAGCGUUGUCCGGAAUUACUGGGUGUAAAGGGAGCGCAGGCGGACCGGCAAGUUGGAAGUGAAAACUAUGGGCUCAACCCAUAAAUUGCUUUCAAAACUGCUGGCCUUGAGUAGUGCAGAGGUAGGUGGAAUUCCCGGUGUAGCGGUGGAAUGCGUAGAUAUCGGGAGGAACACCAGUGGCGAAGGCGACUACUGGGCACCAACUGACGCUGAGGCUCGAAAGCAUGGGUAGCAAACAGGAUUAGAUACCCUGGUAGUCCAUGCCGUAAACGAUGAUUACUAGGUGUUGGAGGAUUGACCCCUUCAGUGCCGCAGUUAACACAAUAAGUAAUCCACCUGGGGAGUACGACCGCAAGGUUGAAACUCAAAGGAAUUGACGGGGGCCCGCACAAGCAGUGGAGUAUGUGGUUUAAUUCGAAGCAACGCGAAGAACCUUACCAGGUCUUGACAUCCGAUGCAUAGUGCAGAGAUGCAUGAAGUCCUUCGGGACAUCGAGACAGGUGGUGCAUGGUUGUCGUCAGCUCGUGUCGUGAGAUGUUGGGUUAAGUCCCGCAACGAGCGCAACCCUUAUUGCCAGUUACUACGCAAGAGGACUCUGGCGAGACUGCCGUUGACAAAACGGAGGAAGGUGGGGAUGACGUCAAAUCAUCAUGCCCUUUAUGACCUGGGCUACACACGUACUACAAUGGCGUUUAACAAAGAGAAGCAAGACCGCGAGGUGGAGCAAAAACUCAAAAACAACGUCUCAGUUCAGAUUGCAGGCUGCAACUCGCCUGCAUGAAGUUCGGAAUUGCUAGUAAUCGCGGAAUCAGCAUGCCGCGGUGAAUACGUUCCCGGGCCU
rnacentral:rRNA from 1 species